CCAUUGAGAUAUCCAUUCUUUCUCUCUCUCACGAUCAGACACAACAACAACAACAACAACACAUCUUUCUCUCAUCUUCACCACAUGCCAAGUCCAUCUCAAACCCCAAUCACUCAUGCAAUUCCAAAAUUAAGAUCCUAAAGUCAUAAACUACAAGGUAAUGGGUUUUAAUUUAACUCUUCUCCUUUAAACAUAUCAAGCAACUUCCAAUCCAUCUAACCUCAGCUUCUGUUCUUCAAACAAAACCCCCAAAAUUCAGUUCUUGCAUGCAAUGGGUUUAAGUUCUGAAGUGGUCAUAAGGUUGUAUAGAAUUAGAAUUAGAAAUUGUAGGCCAUGGUACAAGGGAAGCUGAAUUUGAUGCUCUGUGAUUCUAGCUGCAAGAUAAACUAUGGAAUUUAAGAAAUUAUUAUGGAAAAGUGAUUUAGUAACCUUAAUGAACUGUUGUUGUUGCUGUACCGUAGGCUGAUGUUGUUAAAACUGAUUGGUAUGAUUAGAAUGGUUAUGGCUGAAUUCUAUGGAAUUUUAGUUAAAAAUUCGUAUGACAGUACAGGUACUAAUCGCGUCAUAGCUGUCGCUGUGUAGCCCAGACUUGUGUAAUUGUUUGAUUUUCGGAUUCUACACUUAAUUCCCUUCAGUUUGGAUAUAAGUUUGAUAUGUUUUGGAUUAGAAAUGGAUUCGAAAAACGCGUUUGAAGUUUGGAUAUUGAUGCUGGAAACUGCAUACGGGUUUUGGAAUGGAUUUUGCGGAAUAAGCUAAAAUGUGAGUUUAAGUUGGGUGAAUGAUUCCAGAACUGAAUAUGUAUGCUUAAUUGGCUGAGUAAGAGUUUGAUUUGAAGUUGAAAUGAAAAAAUUAGAGGUUGGAAGUCAGUAGCAGUUUUAUGCAGAAAAUCUGUCACGAGUUUGCAUAUGUGAGCAGCACCAUGAGAUGGUUCUAAGCGGGCGAGAUGGCUCGGUAUUGCUAUCAAUUUCAGAUAAACAGGUUGAUCAAGAUAUCAUGGUCUACAAGCAUGGAGUUCAGAUACUUGGAUUAUGCUAGUUGAGCUGACGUCAUGUUAUCUUAUAUUUGUAUAAGAUUUAGUUUCUUUAUGUUUUCAGUUGUUAGCUCAAUUUAGUAUUAAUCUCUUGGAUUUUGUAAUCCUAUUUAUGUAUUCGGACAAUAUGUAAUGAAAACUUAAUGUUUCCCGAUUCAGUUAUGUACACUCUUAUCGAUAUUCUAGAUAAAUUGACAUGGGGUGUUAUAAUUGGUAUCAGAGCAGGUCGAUUCAGUAUCGGAUCUUGCCGCGGAUCAUUAAAGUUCAAUAAAAGUAGUACGGACCCUUUGGAGUCUGAACUAUUUACGCUGAAAUCAUCGCGUGUUGAGUCUGAUCAACUCAGUAUCGUGUAUGGUAGGCAGGGUAUUACGGUUGAGAACCGAAGUGGACCAAGGAGGUCGAGUAGUAAGAACGAAGUAGAAGUGCGAACUCAGAAGGGAGUAUGAACGAAGAUUGUUAGAAGCUAAUAUUGGAACUGCAGCAGUCGAUGCCACAAGAGUAAGUUGAGUAACGCCAACAAGUGGCGCUUAGAAUUGGGAAAAUUAUGUGACGUAAUACCAGUAGUAAGAGGCAUGUCAAGAGAUGUACGAACCAGACGCGCUCAACUGACGGUAGCAGGUUUAAGGAUAUGGAGAAUUCUGGGAAUGGUAAACCCAGUAUCAAAGUAAGUUUUGACCGGAGUAGAACCGAGACUGUGUAUUGAAGUACGAUACCGGAUAAUUGUACUACGUCUGAUGGGUGCAUUAAUAUGGAGAAUGAAAUUAUGAGAACGGAGCGUGUAUGUAUUAUGUGAACCUAAUAACCAGAAGUACUUAAUUCAAAUAAGACUUAUCAAAAGUCAGUGAACCAAACUCUUUUAAAUUCGUCAAACCAUCAUUUCAGCUCAGUAGUUUUCCCAGAGACAUAGGUCAAUUGACUACACUAUUAGAGAAAGACAAACUAUACUUCAAGCAUUCCUUUAAUUCCUAAUGUCAGUAUGUUGUACCAUUUUGGUAGAAUGAGAACACUAAGUGUCCCCAACAAGAUAAAUUCAGCCUCUUUGUCUGUAACCAAUAAUCAAGUCAGACCAAUAGCAGCCAAGUUUCGUUUAUAGAGUAACGAUUGGAUUUUUAAUCUCAAUUCUAUCAGUCACCUAUGCUGACAUAUUAAAUGUCAUUAUCAGUGGAUUCUUAAACAAGUAACGCAGUUCAAUACUAACUUCAGCAAGUUGCGAAACAAUAUUCCGUAUUCAAACCUCUCGGCUAAGAACCCAACAUAUCCAGUUAAACCUAUUGUGAGAGUUUAACAACUAAGUUCUAAUGAGAAUCAAGUUUGUUCCAAUUCAAGAGAACUGUCGGUGGAAAUAAAUCAUGAAGCAUGAACAUACACCGACAGAAUCAGGAUUUUCAGUUACCUACCCUUUCACGUGAACUAUAAAUCAGCUAAAUUCAUCGAAUCGAUGCGAUGCAUGAUUCGUAAUCAUCCAGCCUUGUUAAGUUAUGAACAUUACAUUCCUCAAACCUAUCUCAUUUUGAUAGAGAGAUAAAUUCUUCCGGUGCUUUGCGAUAUAUCACUUACAUUUAGCGUAAAAAUUCAAUUAAGUUGCGAAUCUUUCAAAUUCCUCAAUAUCAGCGAAUUGGAUUCACAUUAGAGUGUUAUCCUUAUGUGACUCUGACGAAAUGUCUUCAGUUUUCCAGCCUUGUUAUCAGUAAUCAGUUCAGGCCGAUGUAAGUUUGAAUUUCUUGUUAUGAUUAAUAAGUUAUGAUAAGAACUAUUAGUUAUUCAUGUCGACCUUCGAAGCAGUAACAUUAUGUUUAUCCCCCAAGAAAUUCUUCAAUCUUGUAGUUUCAUUACUGAUGACCAGUUCAGAACCACAUAAGUCUAAUCAAUCAUUAAGGAUCUUGAGUAAUUUCAGUUUAAAUUCUUGUUCGUCUUGUUAACCCGCUAAACAACAUCAUUAAGGUACCUCAAACGUUGGAAAAUUUAAUUCAACCAGUUCAGUUCUUUUUUUCUUUAUGAGGUCUUAUCAACUUGUCUCAGACAAAAUCGAAAAUCAUUCAGAGAUAUAAGUAGUAUCAAGAUUAGUGCAAAUGGUGCGAACCUAUCAAUUCCAUUUUUUGUAAUUAAGUUAGACCAAUGUAAGCCUGAGAAUGUUACCCAAUAAACAUAAGUGUUCCUUUGAAAACUAUCAAAUAUCUUUUGACCGAUUAAUUAACAUCAACAAGCAAACCAGAGUUAGCCAACUUCAUCAGUAGUAGCAUCACCCUCGGUAAAGCGAGACAUUAUGUUUUACCUUCCCUUAGCGACUAGUCUAUUUUAGACAACUCGUUAUCGCAAAAUUGCAUCAGAGAAUUCUAUUCAAAUCUUACCUUAAUUAAGUUAGGGGACUCAUCAUAAGAAGUAACCUCAAUGGACACCGAUGGAAUGAGAAAAUCGUAAGCGCUAUGCGACAAGGAGAUUUUUGGAUUAGUCGGUAAUGAUAUUCAAGUUUAUACCCUUAACAUAACCUCAUAACAUCAGUCGAUGUCCCGUGUUUUUAUGUGUGCCCAACCAAACCAAAUAACGAUAUAAUGUAGUGAGUUGAGUAAUAGAGUUAUUGCUGGAAGCAAUAAUCAGAGUAAGUCAGAAAAGGAGACUGGUUGUGACGAGGGACGACAAAGUGAAAUGAUAAGUAAACAAGAACCAACUCGCGAAGAAUGUCGCUUGUCGAAGUAGGGGUAGUUACUGGAUCAAUACAGGCAUCAUAAUUGAAUGCAACAAUGAGGAGACUUUGAGUAUGAAAUAAUUGUAAUAGAUAAGGAGUGAAGUGUUGCAGACAUGUUAGAUUGUGGUGAAGUAUUAUGUAUGCAGUGGUGCGUUGGAUGUCACUAAGUGAUGCGAGUAUUACUUUGUAAUGUCUACGGUACAAGAAGUAAUAACAAUAUGAGUAACGCCGGAUAAGAUGAGACAAUGUGUGACAUUGCCCAGGAAUUGUAGACCGAGGCUGUAAUGACGCAGUCAGAAGAUAAUGGUAAAAAGUUGAGAUCAGAGUGCGCAGCAAGUAAUGGCGGAGAAUGUAGUCAGCAGGUUGGUCUUUAGGCCAACAACCAUUUGAGAAGAAGAAAGUUUUAUUCCAAGGAAUUGGAUGUGGAAGACGGUAAGAUGAUUAAAGAUCGUAUGAUGAGUAAGUUACGCAAAUAUUCAUGUUUGGACCUGAGAUUGUUAGUAUAGAAUACCCUUGAGAGCAAAGAUUGUGAAGGUAAAACGGUUCACUUAAGUAGUUUGACGCGGGGAACUAGUAAGAUUAAGUAUGCUCCGACGUUGAAUUGAAAAGUGCAAAAGAAGAAAAGUUGUGCUGUGAGCAUUUAAGUUGAGGAAAAGAAACAGAGAGAGCUAAUAUAAGAUGAGCGUGUACCUAAAAGUUGUAUUAUGGGCUGAGAUUGGAAGUUCAAUAUCAUGAAAUGAACAAGUAGAAUUUUCAAAGGUAACGUAAGCAAGUGCUAACGCAGUGAAGAGUGAUAAUUAGUAACCCAUUGAACGACGAAUCAUGGUCGGUUACGAAAUGAAGCUAGAAUCUAAACGAGGCAUAAGCAGUAUACGCUGAGAAUGAAUGAAGAAGUUCUUGAAUUUCGCGGACGAAAUUCUUUUAACGGGGAUAGAUUGUAACAUCCAAAUUCAAUUAAUAGAGAAAUAGUAAUUAGAGAGAAUUAUUAGAGACCAUACGGGAAUAUGUGAACAAAUAUAAAGGGAUAAUUAAAGGAUACAAGUACACUUUGGUGUUAAGUGGAGGGACAAAGUUGUAAUCAAACAUAUAAUGCAUGCCAUAGAGGUUAUAAAAGGAUAAGUGUUGUGGACCAACCAUUGAGAUAUCCAUUCUUUCUCUCUCUCACGAUCAGACACAACAACAACAACAACACAUCUUUCUCUCAUCUUCACCACAUGUCAAGUCCAUCUCAAACCCCAAUCACUCAUGCAAUUCCAAAAUUAAGAUCCUAAAGUCAUAAACUACAAGGUAAUGGGUUUUAAUUUAACUCUUCUCCUUUAAACAUAUCAAGCAACUUCCAAUCCAUCUAACCUCAGCUUCUGUUCUUCAAACAAAACCCCCAAAAUUCAGUUCUUGCAUGCAAUGGGUUUAAGUUCUGAAGUGGUCAUAAGGUUGUAUAGAAUUAGAAUUAGAAAUUGUAGGCCAUGGUACAAGGGAAGCUGAAUUUGAUGCUCUGUGAUUCUAGCUGCAAGAUAAACUAUGGAAUUUAAGAAAUUAUUAUGGAAAAGUGAUUUAGUAACCUUAAUGAACUGUUGUUGUUGCUGUACUGUAGGCUGAUGUUGUUAAAACUGAUUGGUAUGAUUAGAAUGGUUAUGGCUGAAUUCUAUGGAAUUUUAGUUAAAAAUUCGUAUGACAGUACAGGUACUAAUCGAGUCAUAGCUGUCGCUGUGUAGCCCAGACUUGUGUAAUUGUUUGAUUUUCGGAUUCUACACUUAAUUCCCUUCAGUUUGGAUAUAAGUUUGAUAUGUUUUGGAUUAGAAAUGGAUUCGAAAAACGCGUUUGAAGUUUGGAUAUUGAUGCUGGAAACUGCAUACGGGUUUUGGAAUGGAUUUUGCGGAAUAAGCUAAAAUGUGAGUUUAAGUUGGGUGAAUGAUUCCAGAACUGAAUAUGUAUGCUUAAUUGGCUGAGUAAGAGUUUGAUUUGAAGUUGAAAUGAAAAAAUUAGAGGUUGGAAGUCAGUAGCAGUUUUAUGCAGAAAAUCUGUCACGAGUUUGCAUAUGUGAGCAGGACCAUCAGAUGGUUCUAAGCGGGCGAGAUGGCUCGGUAUUGCUAGCAAUUUCAGAUAAACAGGUUGAUCAAGAUAUCAUGGUCUACAAGCAUGGAGUUCAGAUACUUGGAUUAUGCUAGUUGAGCUGACGUCAUGUUAUCUUAUAUUUGUAUAAGAUUUAGCUUCUUUAUGUUUUCAGUUGUUAGCUCAAUUUAUUAUUAAUCUCUUGGAUUUUGUAAUCCUAUUUAUGUAUUCGGACAAUAUGUAAUGAAAACUUAAUGUUUCCCGAUUCAGUUAUGUACACUCUUAUCGAUAUUCUAGAUAAAUUGACAUGGGGUGUUAUAGCAUUGAUUUAAUUUAAUCAAUAUAUAUUCCAAAAAUGAGUUGGUCAAUAA